GGCGGACGGGUUAGUAACGCGUGGGAACGUGCCCUUCACUGCGGAAUAGCCACUGGAAACGGUGAGUAAUACCGCAUACGCCCUUCGGGGGAAAGAUUUAUCGGUGAAGGAUCGGCCCGCGUUAGAUUAGAUAGUUGGUGGGGUAACGGCCUACCAAGUCUACGAUCUAUAGCUGGUUUUAGAGGAUGAUCAGCAACACUGGGACUGAGACACGGCCCAGACUCCUACGGGAGGCAGCAGUGGGGAAUCUUGGACAAUGGGCGCAAGCCUGAUCCAGCCAUGCCGCGUGAGUGAUGAAGGCCUUAGGGUCGUAAAGCUCUUUCGCCAGAGAUGAUAAUGACAGUAUCUGGUAAAGAAACCCCGGCUAACUCCGUGCCAGCAGCCGCGGUAAUACGGAGGGGGUUAGCGUUGUUCGGAAUUACUGGGCGUAAAGCGCACGUAGGCGGAUCAGAAAGUUGGGGGUGAAAUCCCGGGGCUCAACCCCGGAACUGCCUCCAAAACUCCUGGUCUUGAGUUCGAGAGAGGUGAGUGGAAUUCCGAGUGUAGAGGUGAAAUUCGUAGAUAUUCGGAGGAACACCAGUGGCGAAGGCGGCUCACUG
rnacentral:rRNA from 1 species